rnacentral:rRNA from 1 species
AUGAUUGCUCUUAUCGGUAUGGCUCCUACCGAGGAGGAGGGAGAAGAGCCGAAGAAGAAGGAAAGGAAAGCAGCCGGAGCUGCUUUCACGUGGAUUCAAGCAAACUUUGCGCAUUGCCCUGCGGAUGCCACUGAUGAUGUGAUACAGACACAUGCUCGUGUCUAUAUGUGGUACGUUUUCUCGAGGACUUCGUUUCCUGACUCCACGGGCAAGAACGCUCCAUGGAUGUGGCUGAAGGCGUUGACCGUCUUCGAUAGCAAAUGGAGCUGGGGUUCAGCGACUCUUGCGUACUUGUACCGACAGGUAGUUGGUUUGUUUUGUUAUCAACUCAUUUGUUCAUUACCAAUGCAACCUUGUUGUCAACUUAACAUUGUUUUUCUUUCAUAUGCAGCUGGACGAUGCGUGUUGCAGGAUCACAGAUAG